rnacentral:ncRNA from 1 species
GGAAAAUUUGGUUUUGGUUUAUGAUUUAACUGUGGCAUUAUUAAAAUACAUGGUACUUUAUGGGUUCCGGUGAGUAAAUGCGGCUUAAAGUUAGGUUUAUGUUAAAUACGUAACUAGCUAAGUCAGUGUGGCAUAAUUAUUUGAAUAUUACGUUUAAUGAUUCACUAUGAGAACACCAGUAUUGGAGAUUAAUAUUACUAACUAGGGUUUGGUUUAGUAAGUAGUUGUAAGGUCUGGUAAAGCUUGUGCCAGCCACCGCGGUUAGACAAGCGGACCAAGUUAAAUUGUAGUCGGUAAAAAAGGAAGUUAGAAAACUUUUGUUGAUGUUAAGGAAAAUAAAUCUUGUUUGUAGAAGUUAAAUUCGUGCAAAGAAGGGUAGAUUACUAGUUUCCUAAGCUUUGAUACUUCGAAAAUUAAAGGAGAGACCGGGAUUAGAUACCCCGUUAUUUUUAUUGUAAAAUUUGGUUUUAGCCUACCUGGGUAGUACGGAUAAAAUUAACUAUAUAAAAGUAUUUUUGUAUAGUAGUUUUUCGUUUAAAACUCAAAAAACUUGGCGGUGCCUUAAUUCUUUCCAGGGGAACCUGUCCUGUAAUCGAUGAUCCACGAUUUAGCUUACUUUUUUUUGAAUGUUAAUUUUUAUAAAAUAAAUCAGUUUGUAUACCGUCGUCGUCAGAUUACCUUUGAGAGAUAAAAAGUUGUCGGAAGAAUAAUAAUUUAAAGAUUAAAUUUAUUUUUGAAAUUUAAAAAAGUUUUGAUGUCAGAUCAAGGUGCAGCUUAUAAAAAAGAAGAGAUGGGUUACAAUAUAAAAUUAAUUUGGAUCUUAAAGUGUAACUUUUAAGUGAAAUUGGACUUGGAAGUAAUAUAGAAAAGUUAUACUGUAAAGUCUUUUUAUUAAGGAUUUUGUGGCUUUGAAUAAAUAGUUAGUCUGUGUGAAUGAAGUACUAAGGUGUGUACAAAUCGCCCGUCGCUCUCGUUGGAAAAUGAGGUAAGUCGUAACAUAGUGAAGGUACCGGAAGGUGUCUUGGAGAAAAAUAUUU